rnacentral:pre_miRNA from 1 species
UUAUGAUGAUGAUGAUGAUGAUGAUGAUGAUGAUGAUAUGAAGAGUGAGAAAGAGAGAGAGAGCAUUUCAUUGAUACACAGAAACUAACGAAGGUUUUUCUGACAUCCAAUAGUGAAGAGUACGUAUUCAUCAUCAUCAUCAUCAUCAUCAUCAUCAUCAUCA